rnacentral:lncRNA from 1 species
UUUUUUUUUUUUUUGGACAGUCUCACUCUGUUUCCCAGGCUGGGUGCAGUAGUGCAAUGACAGCUCACUGCAACCCCAUCCUUCAACCCCAGGCUCAAGUGAUUCUCCUGCCUCAACCUCUCCAACUGCUGGGAUUUACAGGCAUGAACCACCACACACAGCUUAUCACCUCUUGGAGACUAACUUUGAGUUUGGGCAUUCAGUGAACUAUAUUUUGGUUAAUUCCCAAAGUUUCUCACUGUUUAUCUUUAAUUUGCUAAAAAUCUAAAUGUAUUGUGAAAUGGAUUAGAUUUCCUUAGCAUUCACGGAUUCCCUGUUAAUGGGGCAGAGACGCAGAAGGCGUUCGGACAUCAUCAGGGUUACAGUUGAGUGCUUGCCCGCACACACUGGAGCUCUGGGCUCUGUGGCCCCACGGGGGUCCUCUGUCCACUGAGGGGACCGGGUUACCUGGAAAGUCCCUCCAGCCUCUGCGAUUUUGCCCUUUUCAGGUUAACAUCUCCUCGUUGUCCUGGACAGCAUUGCCUUUCGUUCACUGACCCACGAGUGAACAGCUGGCCAGUGGCCAGGGCUGCUUCCUUCAGCUGGGAGGUGGUGAUGUGAUUUCACUUCCGUGGAGCUUGGUUCUUGGUGUAUUAAGGGUUCAGUUGUAUCUUGAUUUUUAAUCUGCACCUCUGAAUUGCUCUUUUGAUUGCAAAGAGAUUGCUUGCUGGAUUUGUUUCUGAAUAUUUCGUGGAUAACAGGAGAACUUUGCUUAUCUGUGUGUUCCUUUAAUGUGUUUUUGCUGGGCAUGUAAAUGGGUGUCUUAGCCCUUAGCCCACUUUCUGUGUGUGGUGGAUUCAUUCUAAUCAUUUAUGUGAAGUCUCUCUUCUAUUAAGGCCAGAGGACGUGGGGUGCUGUCUCCCUAAACUAGGGGGAAAUGGCAUUGUUCUGCCCUCCUCGCUGGGAACGCUGGGGUUUCCAGGUGUCUGGACUUGGCUCCCACACUGGGAGAGUGGCUGUGGCUUCUGGAGCUCGUUUUGUGUGGGACCGACUCCUUCACUGGCUUUAUUUGCCGCCGUCUUUGCUACUUUAUGAGAAGGGAUGAGGGAGUUGGGCCCGGGGGCGAGGCCUGUGCCUGAAAGGCUCGAUGCAGAAACUCCUGGUGGGAAGGAUGUUCCCUGAGGGCAGCUUGGAGUCUUUUGCUACUUUUAAUAGAGAAGUAACUAUUCACACGGUUCUAUUCUGCUAGUGAUGUUUCAAAAUAAUUGGUGUAGAGUUACGAAGACGUCCGAGACACCCAUGAUCCACUCCGGGCCAGUGCCGGGCAUUGUGCUGAGAUGCCUUCAGACCACAUUCAGAUGCCAAAGAUUCUUGCUUGGUUAUUCUCAAACUUAUGAGAAUCUAAAAUACGGGCCACGGUGUGGGUUUUCUCUUGAGCCCCCGUGCCUUUGCUUUGUAUUUUGGGAAUGAAUGACUUCAUCAAGGGGAAAGAAUUUGAGGAAGGAGCCUCUGAAGCUAGGAGGGGGGGGGGAGGGGCGGGGGCAGAGGGAAAAGGAGUUGUAGGGGGAGGAGCCAGGCUGGGGCUGGGGCGUCUCCCCAUGAUGCUCCCCCACCCCUGGCGAGGCCCCAGGGAGGGACUGACUUUCCCACAGGAAAUGUGUAUGAUUGCGUGUCUGUUUUGUGGGUUGGCCAUUUGGAUUGAGGGAAUGUCCGUGUUGUGAUUCUUUAUUGAUUCGAAGGUUGAAAAGGUUUGUGCUCAAUACAGGGGUCUCUUAGUGCGAUGGGAAACGUGAUCACAGCCGCCUUCGGGGUGGGAAGGGUCCUCAGUGGUGGCCGCUGCCGGCCUUCGCCUCCCCGGGUGAGUGCUGCCCCAUCCCCGGCGUCUCCGACUCCUUGCCUGGCACCUUCCUCGUUGGAGGCCGUGAUCCAUCAACCUUGUCCACGCGUAUCCUGCAGACUAGUGCUGACUGCAGGUCCAGGGGUGGUCAGAGGAGGCCAGAGGAGGCCCUCGUGAUGCAAAGCUAAACACUUAAUGAAUGCGCUGCUGAGUGCAUGAGCCAC